rnacentral:lncRNA from 10 species
AUGUUUGGCAUCUGGAGUUUCUGGAAAGUGCAGCCAAGUCUCUCCGUUAUGCUUUGUGUUGGUUCUGGGCUGAUUAAAGCCAGACUAUGUGGAAGUAAGUGGGAUUCUUCUAUUACAAAUGAGGAACCUGAGGCUCAAGAAAGUCCCUUCAAUCAUCACUUGUGUUACACUGCAUAAUCAGGAUUUGACUUUGUGAGCUCCCUGAGAGCAGAGCAGAAAGAG